UUGACUUGUCCUGUCCGCCCAGCAACUAUAAAUCCAUGCCUGGAGCCAAAUCUGGCACGUGCGAAAACACCAUUUUUUACCAUCGCCUGUUUUGCAAGCACGGCUGUUUGUUGAUCUGGAACAGACCCGAAAACACAUUUCUACCAUCGCCUGUUUUGCAAGCCCGGCUAUUUGUUGAUUUGGGACAGACCUCGGGCCUGUGACCUAGAAACCUUUCAAAGGUCAGUGACUCAAUGCUUUCCCAAGGGACCUUAUGGCCAGUUUUUGCAGAAGACCGAACAGGUUCAAACUGGUUUGAUCCCCCCCGACCUAUGGCUUCUCCAAUCAGGGAGAAGUUUUAAAACAUUUGACCAAUAGGACAAAACUGCCCCCCUCCUGUCAAUCUUCCGAAACUGGGAGGGUCCGGGUAUACACUCCGGUCCUUGUCUGUGGACGAGACAGAAGGAGCGGGGCGUCCGAGGCGUUAACAUGGGGUUUGGGUCAUCUCAGCUGUAACUUUUCUGGACGCUACGACUGUAGUUUGGAGUCUGUUUCCGCUGCAGAUACAAGGACAUGCAUCACUUCUGACAAGGUAGCAUGGCCGCCCGCAGACUUCAGAAGGAAUUCACUGCUGCAUAAAGGUCAACUUCUCCAUGACUCUGGCCGCAAACAGAAUUCACUGGACCCCGGUCACGGAAACGCUUGGGCGUGUGGCGAUAUCACCCAGGAAAACAAACAAAAAAGCAAGAAAGGAAAAGAAACCAAUAGAGUAAAAAGUGGCAAAGGUCACCCGAAAACACAUGAUACAAAACACACAAAUAAAACAUAAAACCCUCCAACAAAACAACACUUCUAUCACACAGUAAGAAUACGCAAAAUAAAGGACAGCAUCAUGUAGUCAAAGAAGUCUGCCUUAAAAAGUCCAAUGUACGGUGAGUUUUAUCUUCGCGUACUUUCUUUAUCAUCGAUGCGUCAGUCAUAGUCUAUAAAGUGACAUCUAAACAAACUGUAUCAGCUACAUGUCCAAACUUAUCAUUCUUCACUGUAAGAAGUUAUAAGUUACCAAAUACAUCAAGAAACAUGUGACACGUUUUUCUUUAGUCUCCAGAAAGCUCAUUUGAAAUAUCUUUUAAAAGCUGCAAUGGUGUAUAAAAACUGCCCAAAGAAGCAACUUACAGUUCCUCAAUGUUACAUGCAAACGCCCGUCCCGCAAGUUCUUGUCAAAAACGAAUUCCCCUGGGAAUGCGUGCGUGGAAUAUUUAGAAUUCCUGGCAACUUAAUCGCAGUACUAUAAGAACGGCUCCGCCCCUGAGGCGUCGCCAAA